GCCUAGGCGAGGCGCGCGCCCAGCCGGCGCGGACGGACGUGCCGGACGCGCCGUAGUACAUUCCUGAAGGCGGACCGGCCCCCUUACGCUGCCCAAUGCCCGCGCCGCCUCCCCGCGGCCGGCCAAUGGUCGCGCUCUCGAGUCCCUGCCCAUUCGGCGGCCCCGCGCUGGCGGCCCGGGCGCGCUGGGGGCUGCGGCGGGGCGCGCCGGCCACCGGGGCGGUCUAUGCGGCUCCCGCAGGGGGCCCGUCCGCCGGCUCUCCCCGCCUCCUUCCUUCCUCCCCCGCGGUUUCCCCUCCCCGCUUCCUUCCCCCGGCCUGCGCCUUCUCCUUCCUCCCUCGCCCCGCUCCCUCCCCCACCAGCCCGGCCACCUUCCCUCCAGCCUCUCCUCGGCUUCAGGGGGAAGCCCUGCCCCCGACCCCCUAACCCGCAAACCGAGUGCGGUACCGGGGGCAGGGCGGGACGUCCCGAGGAAGAGAGGGAGACGGGGUGGAGGUGUCUGGGGGCGUUCGCGGGAUCCGGAGGGGGACCUGAGCACCGGGCCAGCGCGGAAAUUCAAAACUCAGACCGCUUAAGGAGCACGUGAUUUUGUGAGUGGCUCAGGGAAGGGCUGCGGAAACUCGGAAGGCAGGCGGGCAGCGUGCGACGAAAGUGACACUGCGUUGGUAAAGAGCGCAGACGGCUCCACACAUUUCCAGUUUCAUCUUUGAGUACGAUCCUGAUGUUUAUUAGGUUUGAUAAAUAGCACAAAACAGGAAAAGAGGUUUACUAGUCUAGCUUUUCUUACUGAACGGUUAUGCAGACACUUCAAGUCGAACCACUGUGUGCUUGCUUCUGGAAACUGCUUUUUAAAAACUGGGGGAGGGGGGUAGUACCCCUAGUUUUGCAUGUCAGCCUUUUUAUAUUUCAAGCUUGCUGGAGGGCAAGGAAUCAUGUAGCCAUAGACUCGUUGCUAUGUUUGUCUUUUCAAACUUUUCCACCACGUUUUGGCCCAAAACUAUUAGUGUUUCGUCUCAAUCUUUUACUAGAGGGAUUUCGGUAUAGCUGCUUGGAUGAAGGAAUUCUGGAAGGAAAUGGGGACUGCUGUGCCACACCGGGUUUGUUAACUUCAACUAACCACAAGGAUUCCACAGACCUGAGAUGAGGCUGACUGGGGCAGCCAGACCUGCUAAGGUGUCCUCCGGGAAGACAGCCCUUUAAAUGGCCCUUCUGCCUCGUGGCACCCCUUGUGACAGUUACCAAGUAAGUGAGAACUUAGGGCCUUAUCAGCCAGCAGGAGUUGCCAGCCUCUGUGAAGCAAGAGCUGAGUGUUCCAUUUCCCCUUUCCAGGUAAAGUUCAUCUCAAUGCAUAAAUUGUCAUUUUGGUCUCCCAGUCAUGAUCCAAGACUUUUCAUUGCAGUGUGUAGUUUUCAAAGCAGAUGCUUUAAGCUCUCUGGAUUCCCUCACAUCUCCCCACUUCUCUGUUCCAAUACUACAAAUAUCCAUGGCCACGCCACACACAUUUCAAAAGUGACAUCAGAUUAUCCAAAUGAUGACAAUGAAAUAAAACAUCUGCCCUUUGUGUUGGGAUGUUCCAAUGGUAAGCAAUUGUGGGAGGCAGACUUGGUGGAGUUAUGAAAAACCACAGUGAGAUUUUAACUUUUCACUGGUUUCUCAGAUCAAACCAAAUGAGUCUUUAAAAUUCAAUGUAAUUUGGCUAACUUUUGCAGAGUAUAAAUGUAUUCCAGUAAUUUCACCCUGGGGCCAUUUAUAAUUUUGCCUACUGAGUUUAAUACUCUCUUCCAGAAAUACAAGGAAUUGCAAACAUGAUUUUAAGUCCUUCAGUAUUCUUGUUGAGAGGGUGGGAUGGACAGAGGCAUUGGGGAUUUGAUGCAAUAUUCUUUUACUGCAUAGGGAGCCCAGGAUACAGGAUGUGAGUGAUGGUCAAGGCAGGGCUUCAGAAGUUCCAAGCAGGUACCUUGAAUACGAGUUGAGUCGACUCAAUUCAAGCCAAUGUACCACUAUCCACCACAUUUUCUUGGCUCCCUAAGAAUGCCGUAUUAUUUUCUCAUUGGCAGCUUUUGUAUAUUCUUAAAAGGUGAUGGUACAAAAUGAGUCUAAAAGGUUUCAGGGAAGUCGGGGGCGGGGUGGGGGGAGAUUCAGCAGCUACAAAAUGUGAAACUACUGGGCUUGACUCCCCUCCCCUACUCCCUUCCACCUUCUGUUUCCUCCCCUUAUUUACCCCCUCCCCAGGCUGGAGGAAAGGGAACAGCUCUAGCCAACUUGUCAAAAUAAUGCUGCUAAUUACCCCUGAUCUCCUUUAAUGGGAAGCUGCUCCUAACUCCACAAAAGAGUAAAUGAGGGGUCUACAGCACAAACCCGGGAGCACUGGCAUUUUUUGAGCUUACAGUGAGCUGGGGGUGGGGAACGCGGCAGAGGGGAGUGUCCUGAGAAGGUCCCAGAAAUCUCCACAUUGAUUACUCCAGGUUUAAAUGCUAGCUUGAAAGGGGAAUUAGACUUUAUGUAUUGCCAAAAGCUAUUGGUAUUCUCUUGCUAAGCAUGUCACCAACUGCUGAGAGAAUGUUCAGAGCCUACUAUGAACUUGAAAGAAAACAGAGCGUUGACCCCUGCAUUGAUCCCCCUUUCUCCAAAUAUAUUCUUACCCACAUUGCUUUCCUCUAAUGGAUAGAGAUGUAUUCCUGAAACACCCAGACUUUGAACAUGUUUUGCAUCCUUCCCUCGCCUCGCCUCUAUCUCCCUGUCUAAUAUAUCUCUAUCAAGCUUUGCGUUUGCUAGGAGGCACACCAUUCAUUUCAGUGAUCUCUGCCAUUGGGUCCUGCAUGAAAAAGAAGCUGAGCAACAUGAUCCCUUUGACCCACUGCUGGAGCAACAAAUUUAUUAGAAAUAUAGGCAUGAGAAAUGAAAGGGAAGUAAAACAAUUCCAGCUUA